rnacentral:tRNA from 1 species
GCCCAGGUGGUGAAAUUGGUAGACACGCACGCUUGAGGGGCGUGUGUCGCAAGACAUGCUGGUUCGAGUCCAGUCCUGGGCA